GCUGAAAGGUUCGUCAAAGGCUGGAAUAGGCAGAAGUGGUGCUGGUGGUAUUUUCUGGUUAGGUUUACCAACAACCUGGCAUGUAUGACAUGAUUUGCAGUAUUCUGCAACAUCAUUUCUAAGUUUAGGCCAGUAAAAAUGCUGCAAGAUCUUAAGGCAAGUCUUCCUUAUACCUAAGUGUCCAGCCAAGGGGGUGUCAUGGGCAAGACCAAUAAUUUCUUGUCUAUAAACUUUAGGCACCACCACUUGGUACACCACUCUCC
rnacentral:lncRNA from 1 species